AAGCUUAAGUACUGAACCACAAAAGCUGUUUGGUGUUGUGAACUUGGUUCCUGAUAAGAUAUUGGUCAGAGAGGUAGGAAUACACCACAACUUGUCCUGGCUUAUUGCCUGAAGGGGACUUGAAGUUUGUGAAAUCUCAGAAGAGAAAGGUAGGUAGUCUUUUUUGUACUGUGUCCACUGUCAUGCUGUGGUCCACUCUAUUCUGUAAAUGUUUACAAGGUGGGAUCGUGCCACUCUUGGCAGCUGAGCAAGUUGUAGAGAAGAAAAUGGGGUGACGUUCUGGUGGUUGUUUUCACCUACAAGCUCCAGGCACACUUGUUUAUUUAUAAGUCAAGCUAGCACUCAUUUUGUGUUCUAUGUUCAAUUUUUGAAGGGAAAAGAAAAAUUAUUACAUGGUACCAUAUCCAACAAUAAGAAAUGUGAACGAUCAUCAUGGCACAAAAAACUCCAAAUCGCACUUUUUUUCGUGACUUUAAGAUUCGACACUCCCUCCAGACUCAGCUAUUGGUGUCCUGCUGAAGUUAACUCCAAGUGUUUGAGGUGUCUUUUGUUGUUUUUAAUCAGCCGAUGGGCUGGUUAGUUUGGAAACCCUGUCACAGCGUAAUGGCUGUUGAGGACUGGGACCCCUGUAGGAGAGGCUCUGAAGAAAGCUGCCGUUUUUGUUCUUGUGUCUUCGGGGGAUUUUGCUUAGAGCCGCUGUGCGCUCGCAGAGUGAAGCUGCAAAUAGACCACGGUGAAAUGCAAGCGCUUUUCAGGCACUGUGACCACAGUACCCUGCUCUUCCAGCUAUUUUGGUCAAUGCCUUUGUACAUUCUACAAAAUAAGCCUCCAGAUCUAGUUAAUUCUUAUCAUAUAGCCACAGCAGCAAUAUCACCCUGCAGCUCACCACCGGCAGCCCACUGAAGCUCAGCAGAUGUAAGCCUGGUCAGUACCUGGAUGGGAGACUCCUGGGAAGAGCUCUUGCCCCUCCAGUGACCCAGGGAGGGAGCAGUGACCAGCAGGAGGACUGUUGGCAGAGGAGGUUCCUGCUGGAAACGCCGACGUGUCCCGGCAACCCGCCCACCUGCAGAAGCCUUCGUCCAUCCAUUGACUGGUUGCAAGGCUCCACGGAGCACCAGAGGGGAGAAGGAGGGCGUAGCUGCAGACUGGUCGUCCCAUCUGGUCCACCCGGGCUGCGUCUCCACCAGAUUGGACGCAGCAGCUGAGAAGCGUCCGUCUCACAGCUCAGCCCCGGCGAGCAGGCGAGAGAGCAGCGCAUCUCGCUGCCAGGCUGCCGGAGGAGUCGCCUGUUGCCAGCAUGGUGGGGGGACCCCCAGCCGGCUUCGUCUCAGCCUGCUGCCCGCAGCGGCGCCAUGCCGGUCAGCUGCUGGCGGCCCCCGGGGUUCGUCCUGCUGGUGCUGGGGGUCAGAGCUGGUCUCAGGUCUCUCUGGCCUCUGACAACGGGUUUAAAACAGCGAACAACAGGACCAACGUGCUCUGGCACGUCUAUCGCUGUCACCGCGGUGUCCGGCCGCUGGAAAUCCGGGCGGAAUGCAAGCCGAAUCCUUAUCCUGCCGCGCGAGAGGCCGGGAAGCCCAGCAGCCAAGCAUUAGGAAGAGGAGGACAGCACAUGAGGCGACCAUCCACUGGCCACAAGCGACCUGCUUGACGUCAUAUCUGGCACGAGGGGAAGUCGGUUUCCUUGGCAACCAGGGACCCUGAUCAUGGGAAAACUGCAGCGGCGGCUCAUCUGAAGCGCCCGAGUCAGGGAGCGGGGAUCCUGUCUCCCUCCCGGAGCGGAGCUGAACAAAGCCAGGCGCUGCCGAGUCAGGCAGAAGGAUCCCCCGUCUGAUCGGAUACCUGGCGCUGAGCUGGCGUCUCUCACACACAGGGGCCCCGCGGUGCUUCAGCGAAGCGAGCCCAGUGCUGGUGCAGGGACUGCGCGCGGCGAUCCUCCAUCACGAUGCGCCCCCCCACCCCCCCCGCACGCUGCAGGAGCCAGCUGGGGGUUAACUGCCUCUCUCAUUCCUGCUUGGGGGGGGGGACGGAGACCAGCAGAAGCAGCUUUUAACAAGGUAUGAUCUCAGGGCGCUGGAAUCAGGAGAGCCACUGGUGUUUACGCUGCUGAGCCUCUGCACCCACACCCAAACACCCACACGCCAACGCACCCACGUGACACCUCCCCCCCGCUCCCUGGGGGGGGGGUGUGGGGAGGUCACAGGAAACAUUUCGACAUCUUCAGUCUUUGCCUGACAGGGCAACAUCCAUGAGCCAGCCUAAGCAUUGACUUCCAUUGCUCUUGUCCCAUUUGCUAUACGUCGUAGUUAAUCAUCUGGGGUUCUAGCUGGAUUAAAGAAGGCCGAGUCCUCCACUGGGAGCCUGUGGUGGGAAUCAAUUCACCUGAGAGUUUCCGUCUGUCAGUGGCCACCUCUGCCCAAAUUAAACAUGCACACAGCCGGCAAGUGCAUCAGCUGAGAGAAAAUCCUUAUCCAGGGUAAGGAGCUGCUGCAAGCAGGCUCGGGGCUGGGAAUUCUGACAGGAGACGGAACAACAGGACACUUGCACUUUGCAUACCGGCAUACAUUUCGGCAUCUUCAGUUAGACCACAAUAGCAGAGCACCGGAGAGCGUGAUGCUGGACACAGGGCGCAAAAGGCCAGCGACAGACUCGGGUCCCUGCUGACGUCUUUCCUACUCUUUACACGCUCGCCUCGAUUCGAAGCCUUUCACUUGAUCAGCACUCUCCUAUGCAAAUGGAGCAACGCUUGUGCUCGAAACACGAAGCUUGGGGAAAUGAGAAAGAAGAGCGCUUGUCGAUGGCACAGCCUUUAGGUUAGCCUGCCGUUAUGAGUCACAGCUAGGGAGAGAAAAAAAAAAGAGAUGUGUUUAGGCCACUCUGGGUUUUCUGUUCUGAGUACAGUGAUUAA